rnacentral:rRNA from 1 species
UACGUAGGUGACAAGCGUUGUCCGGAUUUACUGGGCGUAAAGAGCGCGCAGGCGGUCGUUCAAGUCGCGUGUGAAAGCCCCCGGCUCAACUGGGGAGGGUCACGCGAUACUGAUCGACUCGAAGGCAGGAGAGGGAAGUGGAAUUCCCGGUGUAGUGGUGAAAUGCGUAGAUAUCGGGAAGAACACCAGUGGCGAAGGCGCUCUACUGGGCCACAACUGACGCUGAGGGACGAAAGCUAGGGGAGCGAACAGG